AUUAACUGAUAAACCGAUUACUGACACGUUAACACCGACAGCAGCAAUCGAUGACGAGUGUACGAUUUUUGUCGAGUCUGCGAAAUGUAUUUCUUGAAAGCGAGACAGUGAUCCUAGAUUCCAUCGUUAGCGUCGGCGUUUCGGUUCAGUCGUGGUUAAAGUUUUAUUUCAUCAAUCUUUGUCAGAACUUCAUGAAAUUCGGUUACAUUUGAACACAAGUUUUUUAUGACUCAUUAUAUACCGUAUUCAGAGCAAACAUUUGAAAAUAUUUUUAUAUUGCUUCUACGUAUUUUUGUCUCGCUUGACGGAGUCAAAAAGCGAGAUAUACGUAUGCUGUUUCCGGUGUCGGCGGGGGCGGCGGGGGCGGCGACUUCAACAAUGUUUUAGUUUGUGAUUAGGUCUAGUUUACGGUGAACCACCACUAGUGGUAAGUCAAAGAUAUUUGGUAUGCAGUUGUAUUAGUAUUGGCACAUCUCAUUACCAUGGAGAUUAUUUGGCCCCCCCCCCUCAGUUAUGGUCUAUUGACUUUGAAACUUUUGCUUAGUUUUCAUGUAUUAGUUUGUGAUUAGUUCAGUUUAUGGGGAACCACUAGUGGUAAGUUAAUGAUAAUUGGUAUGCAGUUGUAUAAGCAUUGGCAUAUCACAUUUCCAUGGAGAUUAUUUGGCCCCGCCCCCUCAGUCAUGGUCUAUUGACUUUGAAACUUUUGCUUAGUUUUCAUGUAUUAGUUUGUGAUUAGGUCUAGUUGACGGUGAACCACCACUAGUGGUAAGUCAAUGAUAUUUGGUAUGCAGUUGUAUUAGCAUUGAUACAUCUCAUUUCCAUGGAGAUUCAUUGUUUAGCCAUGUACCUUCAGUCAUGGUUCAUUGAUUUUGAACAUUUGCAAAACUUACAUGUUAAAGUGUUACUAUAUUUUGGCUACGAGCAUCACUGAAGAGACAUGGAUUGUCGAAAUGCGCAUCUGGUGCAAGAAAAUUGGUACCGUUAAUUUUAUUAAUUACAACAUUUGCAAUUAUCGAAAAUACAAAAAAGCGAGACAUAGAAUGAAAUUCAAAACAGUGUAGCUGUGGCCAUUGAUUGACACAUUAAAUUUAUUCAUUGACUGGGAAAAUUUAGGUGAACGUUUGUAUGUAACGACCACUGCUCACUAUGUACUUUUUAAAGACACUUAAACUAUGGGGUCACCAAAGGUUCUCAACACAUAAAGUAAUUCGAAAAAUUAAUCAGAAAUAACACGAUGUUUUAAUUUAUAUAUA
rnacentral:lncRNA from 1 species